AUUGAACGCUGGCGGCAUGCUUUACACAUGCAAGCCGAACGGUAACAGGUUAAGCUGACGAGUGGCGAACGGGUGAGUAAUGCAUCGGAACGUGCCCGGUCGUGGGGGAUAACGCAGCGAAAGUUGCGCUAAUACCGCAUACGAUCUGAGGAUGAAAACGGGGGACCGUAAGGCCUCGCGCGAUCGGAGCGGCCGAUGUCAGAUUAGGUAGUUGGUGGGGUAAAGGCUCACCAAGCCAACGAUCUGUAGCUGGUCUGAGAGGACGACCAGCCACACUGGGACUGAGACACGGCCCAGACUCCUACGGGAGGCGGCAGUGGGGAAUUUUGGACAAUGGGCGAAAGCCUGAUCCAGCAAUGCCGCGUGCAGGAAGAAGGCCUUCGGGUUGUAAACUGCUUCUGUACGGAGCGAAAAGGUCUCCUCUAAUACAGGGGGCUCAUGACGGUACCGUAAGAAUAAGCACCGGCUAACUACGUGCCAGCAGCCGCGGUAA
rnacentral:rRNA from 1 species